GACAGAGGUGCCGAGCGUUAGGCGGAAUCACUGGGCUUAAAGCGUGUGUAGGCGGGCGAUCAAGUACCUUGUGAAAUCCCACGGCUCAACUGUGGAACCGCUGGGUAUACUGGUUGUCUUGAGCCGGCUAGGGGCGAGCGGAACAGACGGUGGAGCGGUGAAAUGCGUAGAUAUCGUCUGGAACGCCGAAGGUGAAAACAGCUCGCUGGGGCCGCGCUGACGCUGAGACACGAAAGCCAGGGGAGCGAACGGG
rnacentral:rRNA from 1 species